rnacentral:rRNA from 1 species
UACGUAGGUGGCAAGCGUUGUCCGGAAUUAUUGGGCGUAAAGCGCGCGCAGGCGGUCCUUUAAGUCUGAUGUGAAAGCCCACGGCUCAACCGUGGAGGUCAUUGGAAACUGGGGGACUUGAGUGCAGGAGAGGUAAGUGGAAUUCCUGGUGUAGCGGUGAAAUGCGCAGAUAUCAGGAGGAACACCAAUGGCGAAGGCAGAUCUCUGGGCCGUAACUGACGCUGAGGAGCGAAAGCAUGGGGAGCGAACAGG